AGAGUUUGAUCCUGGCUCAGGAUGAACGCUAGCGACAGGCCUAACACAUGCAAGUCGAGGGGUAACAUUACAGCUUGCUGUAGAUGACGACCGGCGCACGGGUGCGUAACGCGUAUGAAACCUACCUUAUACAGUGGGAUAGCCCGAAGAAAUUCGGAUUAAUACCACAUAUAAUACGUUAAUGGCAUCAUUAAGGUAUGAAAACUCCGGUGGUAUAAGAUGGUCAUGCGUGACAUUAGCUAGUUGGUGAGGUAACAGCUCACCAAGGCGACGAUGUCUAGGGGUUCUGAGAGGAAGGUCCCCCACACUGGUACUGAGACACGGACCAGACUCCUACGGGAGGCAGCAGUGAGGAAUAUUGGUCAAUGGACGGAAGUCUGAACCAGCCAUGUCGCGUGAAGGAAGACUGCCCUAUGGGUUGUAAACUUCUUUUAUAUGGGAAGAAUGUUAUCUACGUGUAGAUAUUUGCCAGUACCAUAUGAAUAAGCAUCGGCUAACUCCGUGCCAGCAGCCGCGGUAAUACGGAGGAUGCGAGCGUUAUCCGGAUUCAUUGGGUUUAAAGGGUGCGUAGGCUGACUAAUCAGUCAGAGGUGAAAGUUCGUGGCUCAACCAUAAGAUUGCCUUUGAUACUGUUAGUCUUGAGUACAUUUGAGGUAGGCGGAAUGUGAUGUGUAGCGGUGAAAUGCUUAGAUAUAUCACAGAACACCGAUUGCGAAGGCAGCUUACUAAACUGUAACUGACGCUGAUGCACGAAAGCGUGGGGAUCGAACAGGAUUAGAUACCCUGGUAGUCCACGCCGUAAACGAUGAUAACUAGUUGUUUGCAAUAGAUCGUAAGCGACAAAGCGAAAGCAUUAAGUUAUCCACCUGGGGAGUACGUUGGCAACAAUGAAACUCAAAGGAAUUGACGGG
rnacentral:rRNA from 1 species